AGUUCUUGCUUCCUUGACCUUGAUUUCCACGCUCACGCCUUGUCCCCUCAGCACCCACAUGCAGAUAAUGAUUGUCUGUGUUAGAGUGAAUGAAAUAUCGCUGCGGAUCCUGUGCCGAAGCGAAUCACUGAAUUGGUGGCAUUCUGAUGAAAUGCUGUGCUCUCUUCCUGCUGAGGAAGACAAGUGGCAGGUGAUCACAGAGGGUGUGGAGCUGUUCUGCAAGAAGUCAACAGGCAAGUGGAUAUGGCUUAAGUUCAACAAGGAAAAUACACGAGACUCCCCUGAUGAGUUUUUGGUACAUAAAAUUUGCGAAGUUUACCUUUGGCAUGUGGGUGGACUGCCAUUUUGGGUGGUGAUGGGGAAUGUAACACUAAUUUUAGAGUAGGUGAUCAUGAUAUAAAAGUGAUUGUAAGGCUGCACCCUGGUGCUUAUCUCUACUCUAUUGUUCAUUUCCUAUCUAUUGUUAUGGUUAUCACUUACAAUAAAAG
rnacentral:lncRNA from 1 species